AGCAGCCGCGGUAAUUCCAGCUCCAAUAGCGUAUAUUAAAGUUGUUGCAGUUAAAAAGCUCGUAGUUGAAUUUCGGGAUCAGUACGCUGGUCGUGCCUCCGGUAUGUACUGGUGUCACUGAUUCAUCCCUUCUGAAGAACCAUCAUGCCAUUAAUUUGGUGUGGUGGGGAAUCAGGACUGUUACUUUGAAAAAAUUAGAGUGUUUAAAGCAGGCUCGCGCUUGAAUACAUUAGCAUGGAAUAAUGAAAUAGGACGUUUAUCCUAUUUUGUUGGUUUCUAGGAUUGACGUAAUGAUUAAUAGGGAUAGUUGGGGGCAUUAGUAUUCAAUUGUCAGAGGUGAAAUUCUUGGAUUUAUUGAAGACUAACUACUGCGAAAGCAUUUGCCAAGGAUGUUUUCAUUAAUCAAGAACGAAAGUUAGGGGAUCGAAGACGAUCAGAUACCGUCGUAGUCUUAACCAUAAACUAUGCCGACUAGGGAUCGGAUGAUGUUAAUUUUUUAAUGACUCAUUCGGCGCCUUACG
rnacentral:rRNA from 1 species